AUUAGUGCAGUGAUGAAGCAUAUAUUGUGGACUAGAGUUUCUGAUAUUGGGCUCUUCUUCCCAUUUUAUUUUGACGACAAACCCUUGGCUGUCUGAGCACUAUACCUUUCAUCUUAUUCAUAAGUUUUCCACUGAUUUUUUAAUACUCAGAGUUUAUUCUUUUUAUAAAUUUAGGUUAAGAGCUAAUGAUGAGAAAUACAAUUAUCUUAGCGGAUUUCAGUGAGAUUACUUUUAAUCAAUGAUCUGAUUGUUACACACACUGAAGCUCUUCAAUCUCUUUAUUUUAUUUAUUUUUUUGUAUGAGAUGGGAUGUAAAUAAUAAUAGCAGUGAUGAGGCAAAACACAUGAGGAUGUGUUAAGGGAAGUGGACAAGACGAUUAAAACCGUUUUGCCGUGAUCCCCAUUUUAAACGACUUCUCCUUCCACUGAGCUUU
rnacentral:lncRNA from 1 species